AGGGAAUCUUCCGCAAUGGGCGAAAGCCUGACGGAGCGACGCCGCGUGAGCGAGGAAGGUCUUCGGACUGUAAAGCUCUGUUGUGAGGGAAGAACGCCCUGGAGAGGGAAUGCUCUGGGGGUGACGGUACCUCACGAGGAAGCCCCGGCUAACUACGUGCCAGCAGCCGCGGUAAUACGUAGGGGGCGAGCGUUGUCCGGAAUUACUGGGCGUAAAGGGCGUGUAGGCGGCCCCUUAAGUCCGGUGUGAAAGCCCACGGCUCAACCGUGGAAGGUCACUGGAAACUGGGGGGCUUGAGAGCAGGAGAGGAGAGCGGAAUUCCCGGUGUAGCGGUGAAAUGCGUAGAGAUCGGGAGGAACACCAGUGGCGAAGGCGGCUCUCUGGCCUGGCUCUGACGCUGAGGCGCGAAAGCGUGGGGAGCAAAC
rnacentral:rRNA from 1 species